CGCUUCAUGACAGAGUAUGAAGUAUUGCCUGCCCUAUGAUUUAAUUAAAUGGCCGCGGUAUACUGACCGUGCAAAGGUAGCAUAAUCAUUAGUCUUUUAAUUGGAGGCUGGAAUGAAAGGUGGGACGAAAUAACUACUGUCUUAUUCUGACAAAAUUGAAUUUAAUUAUUGAGUAAGAAAGCUUAAAUAAUUUUAUGGGACGAUAAGACCCUAUAGAGUUUUAUAAUUUUAUAAAUUAAAUUGGUUGGACUACUGUCUUAAUUUUUGAAAUUAUUUUGUUGGGGUGAUGAGAAGAUAUAAUUAACUCUUUUUUAUAAAGUACACAUAUUUGUGGUUAAUUGACCCGUAUGUUAUGAUUAGAAGACUAAAUUACCUUAGGGAUAACAGCGUAAUUUUAGUUGAGAGUUCACAUCGACACUAAAGAUUGCGA
rnacentral:rRNA from 1 species